UACACUUUUGUAAGUUAACAACAGCUCUACCAAUUUGGUUUGAAAAGGUUCAUGCAAGAUGAAAAGGGACCACCUCUGGGUGAGACUGAGCAGAAAAAAAUUCAGCCCCAUUGGAAACUGAAUUUAAAAGAGCACAAAAGAUGAAAAAGCAGCUUAGAAUAGCCGUUGGACUUCCACUUUAAUUAUAACUCUGUCUGAUGACAGUGAAAAAUGAUUUUCCUUCUUGGCUGGGUUUUAGAAACAUUCCCAGUACAACCCUAAAUAGACACUGCAGACAGGCAACAAAGUAGCUUACAGACCAGAUCCACAGUCCACUGAAGUCACUACAGAGGGACUAUGUGAUUUCAGCAGCUUUGGAAAUCAGUCUGAAAUCAAAUGCUUCCUCUUACCAGGGAAGGAAAGUAUCCAGUUCCUUUCUUUGACAACGAAGGGCUGUUGAUCUCUGGAGACUGAUGAGUGACAUUAUAGAAUCCUGGGCCUGGAUUUUCACUCUAGCAAGAGAAGUACCACACACAUUGACCAAGCUGUAUUGAUCACCUCUCUCUUGGGGCAAAGGCAAUGAAAUACAGGCAUAGGCUCAUACUGAUGCUAAUGGGACAGCUCCUUUCCCCAGUACCUCAUCUUUCUGCCACAUACUUGAGGCUCUCCAAAUUGUGCUCCAUGGAGAAGACGGUUGUGCUGAGGGAAGCAAGUUUGGUUCAAUUUGCUAGAACCAGCUAUUAAAUGUGCAGCGGGUUUCCAAAGCAGAUGAUAAAAAAAAAAAAAAACUUGCAUCUGCAAGCUCAAUUACCUGGUGUUGCCCAGGCUUGGCUGCUCCUGCUGACCAGCCUGCUGAGGCUUGGAUGGAAUCCCAUGCUCAACCCUGCCCCAUAAAGGGGAGUUACUACUCUGACAGCACGUUCGUGAUUAGCACCUUCCAGGACAGCACGUGUCAGGGAACCAACUACAGAGCCCUUCUCCCAUCCACUGCAUCUAGCUCUGGUUUGGCAUGCACAUCACCACGUCAGUGUUGUUGAAAGUAAUUGGAGAUUAGACAUCUACACACCCUUGGAAAUUUACCUCCUGCUACAGUGACUGCACACCUCUGUGUCCUUUGAAUACUUUGAACUAUAUUCUGGUGAAUAUAAGGGAGGAUUUAGCUGUGUGGUAAAUCCACCAGAAAUGCCUUCCAAACUCCGGUGUUCAGGCACCUGUGGGGCUGUGUGAAUACAGUGGUAAACUGGCACAGUUACAAAAGUGGGUCAACUCACUUGGUAAUUAUUCCAGGUCAGGUACUAAGAAGCAAAUAAGCUCUCUACAUUGCCUACAUUACAGGUGGGUAAACCUCGUGUACUGGUAAACUUCAUUUAUCCCUGACUACCCUGCUAAAGGAAUGUGCUCCAAAAUGGCUUGUGCUGAAGAGAACACAAUCAAGCACUGGUGGAGGAAAAUAAGUCAGUAACUGCAAAAAGGCCUAGUAUUAAGCGACCUAAUGCUUCCCCUCCCCUACCUAGCACAGUAACUUUUCUCUAGGGUAAAGCUUAAGAAAGAAUCAGCCAAGCCCUUGUAUAGCUUGUGGUUUGGCUUCCUGCCUGCUCUGCCCUUCAAGCAGGAAAUUCUCAAAGGCAAGGGAGUGCUUUGUGAAGCUACCUUAAGACUCUGCCUCUUCUCUUUUACUCAGAACUUAGCAUCAGGUCAUCUGGAACUCCUGGAAGCUGACCAGACAGACUGAUGGCGCCUACUUAAGUCCCGAGAUAAUAUGUUCCUGAUAUCACUGAGAUGGGAGAGACAAGCAAGGAGGAAGAGAUCAAAGGAAGGAGAAGAAAGAGAAGAUGCCAAAGGCAAAAGAAGAAAGAGGGAAGAAGACGAAUACUUCCGAGAUUUACCUACUUUACAUACCUGGCACCCAAAGCUUCAGAAAUUCAGAAUAUACUUAGUUUUCAGAGUUCUGGUGUUACCACAUAGUCACCAGACCACAGGAAACAGUCAGCGGGGGCCAUGGGCAUCCUCUUUCCACCAGCAGAGGAUGUAGCUUGAAAGCUGCAUCCAGAAAGCCCAGGAGGCCCAUGGCACCUCUGAGUGUUGGCCAGACUUGAAAAGAAACCCUGCACAGCGCAGCCUGGGAAAACAGCAUGGUUUUAACAUAUCUUUCUGCUUCCCUCUGCUGGCCAGAUAACAUAUACCAAUGUAAGUCCUACAAAUCAGGGAUCAAGGUGAAGUGUCCAAAGAUAGAAGGGGUCAUAUUCUCCUACCAUUAUACAAGUGGUAACUCUACUGAUUUCUUUAAAUUUUCUCCUGAAUUUCACAAUACAUGCAAGAUAUAUGUUUGUGUCCAUGAGGGUUCAAGACUGGAAAAGGGACCAGGGACAAAGCUGGGUGGGAGAGAUGUAGGGGGAUGGUAAGGACAAGGGUGAUGUAUGUGGAGUAAUGUUAAGGUUUAAAUUAAUAACACCGCUUUACCAUUUACUUCAUACUGUUAAGAGUUGUGAUUAAAAAACAAAUUUAACAACCAUAA